rnacentral:ncRNA from 1 species
UAAGGCUCCCAGUAGACGACUGGGUUGAUAGGCCGGAUAUGGAAGCACGGUAACGUGUGGAGUUGACCGGUACUAAUAGGCCGAGGGCUUGUCCUC